GCCGAGCUCAGUUACGAGAGCUUGUAACCCGAGUGGGGGCAUUAAGGUGGUGUGGACGCUGUUGUAGCGCUGCAGGCCUGGUCUGGGUGUGCUACUGCUGGCCCGCCCGUUCCAAGUUGAGUAGUGGACCGCCUGGGGCCUAAACGAAAGCUAGGCCUCACGGACCGCCUGGGGCCUAAGCGAAAGCUAGGCCUCACGGUCCAUAAUGUGGUAGGCACAGCGUGAGGCUGGCUUCACAGAGCAGCGAUAACUGCCCGCUUCCAACGGUGGAAGGAUAACGGGCCGCUGCACUCCUAGGCCACUUGGGCCUCGCAGCCUACUCCAACGGACCAUCACUUUU
rnacentral:SRP_RNA from 1 species